rnacentral:rRNA from 1 species
GUCUUUUUGAUGAUGAUUUAAGGUCGGGCCUGCCCAAUGAUUGUUAAAUGGCCGCAGUAUUUUGACUGUGCAAAGGUAGCAUAAUCAUUAGUUUCUUAAUUAGGAGCUGGAAUGAACGGUUUGAUGAGAGAUUAACUGUCUCGGUUUAGUUGAUUUAGAAUUUUAUUUUUGAGUUAGAAAGCUUAAAUUUGGUAGAAAGACGAGAAGACCCUAUAGAGUUUUAUAGUUAAAUUGCUUUGAUUUUGAAGGAUUAAUGUUUUUUGAGUGUUUAUACUAUUUUGUUGGGGUGAUGUAAAAAUUCGAUAAACUUUUUAUUGUUUUUAACGUUAAUUGACGUGUGUAUGAUCCCUUUAUUAGGAUUAUAAGAUUAAAUUACCUUAGGGAUAACAGCGUAAUUUUUUCUGAGAGUUCUUAUUGAUGAGGAAGUUUGCGACCUCGAUGUUGGAUUAAAAUUUACUAUCGGUGUAGCAGCUGAAUGGUUGGGUCUGUUCGACCUUUAAAAUUU